rnacentral:lncRNA from 1 species
AUGUGCUGGAGUCAUGCAGAGUUCAAAUUUACCAUACCCAUCAAGAUGCAAAUCCCAAAUUUCGUUUAGCAUUGUCCCGUUGGUAAGGAUGUUACACGCAGGUCAGGAUUCUAUCUCCCCCCAAGCCCUUUAAAUGUGUUUAUUCAUUCUGUUUAUUUUCAUUUCCCAGCUUCCACAUGUCGCUCAGUCAGAUUUUCUGUUAGCAAGACUGAGAGACGAAUAACAUAUGUUACCCCACAACUGACCUUGAAGGAGAACUGAAGAAACCACCUUCCCCAGGGCUGAGAUGUAAUUCAGACACGAGCUUUCUCUGUAGAGCUCCUUUUCUGAAAAGUCACUGCCAACUGUGUCCUAAGCCCUGGAAACGUUCCUGCCUGCAUCGAUAGCAGAGCGUGAAGUACGGACCAGGGGGAUGUUGAGGAUUUAGCCUUCUGUGCCAUCCCUCCCUCAGCUCUCAUAAGCAAAGCAAACAAAUUCUUUGUGUCUUAGAAGAAUCAGAUAAUUCAGCCAACUUGAGUCGUUUCCUCGCAGGCCUGGCUUUUCACCUGAGGGAGUAGGUUUGCUCAUCCUGCCCAGGUUAAAGUGACUGAAAAUCAAUGUGGUUUGACAGCUGUGGGAAAGAAAUAAAUAAAUGGAUGUACAGACUGUUGAGCAACAAAGACUCUUCAAGUGGAUGCGAAGUGAGGCACUAAAAGAAACUUGUCUCUGAUCUUCCUUACAAGUUCUUGAUUCAUGGCAGUCUGGCCAGCCACAGCCCUGUCUGAUGGGGUUGGUCUGACUCUUCCAUGGUGUUUUCCACCUCCUUGCACAUUCUGCUCAGGAAGAAGCCACAGGAGGGACGUUCAGCUCUCCCCUGCCCUUGUCUGGCUGAGCUGGGCACGUCAAACAGGAGAUGGCCUUGCCAAAGAACUGCCUGCCUACCUAUGUCCUCAUUCCACGAUCCAGGUGACUUUUGUUCCACGGAGCCACACCUCAGCCUCUCACCUCACCGGGAGAGAAAACCUCCCAGACGUCUCAGUUUUGCAACCGAGCAGUUGUGCCCUUGUCGUGCUUCCAGCAUUUCCUCACAGCCCGCACUCAGAAACGAGGGCUGCGAGUCCCAGCCUCAGCAGGAACGUCUCCCCCAUCAUUAAAUAAUUGAGCUGCUCCUGCAAUCUGGAGCCCGGCAGCCCGAGACGCUACCUCAUAGCUGCUGGGUCGCUGGCACAGGUUUGACAAAACCCUUCAGGGAUGGCUACUGCAGGGAGGCUCUUUCCUGGCAGGUCCCAGCUUGGUUUGUUGGGUCAGUGGGGAGACAGACAGGGCUCGCCACGCCAGGCCCGUGCCAAGCCACGCUGGCCAAAAUUGGCUGAGCCCUGGCUGUACCUUCCAGAAGUACUGAAGAAGGGGUUUUGGUCCUUGGUUGAGGAAAGGAAGGAAAUUUAGGUAUCAGAGUCCUUGGGAGAUGCUGUUUUGCUGCCCUCUAGGCAAAGAUUAAAGCUUGAAAUGUGGAAACUACAGAAAAUGCUGUCCUGAGCACACCAAAGCAAAGCAAAGGGUUGGGAAGGUGGAAAGGCUUUUCGUGGGACUUCAUUAAGGUGUGAGUAUGAAAUCUGUAAAAAGAUCUCUGGCCUCAGAUAAGGGAGAUCCAGUGGUGUACAACAAAGAAUUAUCAGUAAAGGCAUCAUAAUUACAAAGUUCUUUUAUAUUAAAAUGAUGUCAUGUAAUAGGUUGAAGAACAAGAAAUAAAUAAGCUGUGCAGAUCUCCUUUAUCUAAAUA